AUGGGGAUGAACACCAUUUUCUCCCUUUUUUUUUUCCUCCUUUUUUUCUUCUUUUUUUUCCUUUUUUUUUCCCCUCCCGGUUUCCUCUUUUUCAUUUUUUUAUUUUUUUAUUUUUUUAUUUUUUUAUUUUUUUAUUUUUUUAUUUUAUUUUAUCUUUUUUUCCCCCGUUUUCGGCAGCCGGGCCGUGCCAGCGCUCUGGCGGCAGCAGAGGGCAGUCGCGCCGCACGGCUCAGCUCGGCUCCCUCGGAUGCGCACCGCGACGGGAGAAAAAGGGAAAACAAAACCAACCGCGGCGAUUUCCCCGCUCAUACCUGGGAAACCUUCACCCACACCUCCCAGAGGUCCUCGGGGCUCGGUCCCCCGGCGAAAGAUGCUCAUCAUGACAACUCCACCCUCCCCAUCUCCUUCCUGCCUGCAGGAAUUAUGCCUACAUGGGCAACAUGGCCAGGGAAACCAUUAACUAUGAGAAAACCACAGCUCUCCUUGGAAAUGCCAUCAGCACCCUUUACACAACACUUUCAAAGCUAUUUUUUGGCCAUCUGCAGGCUCAGGCAGUUGCUUUUGUGGUCGUUCCAUGUGGCUCAUAGACAAAGAGCCUGCUGCUAUUUGAAAACUUUUCUUUGCCAUCACGAAGGCAGUAAAUAUGUACUGACACAGGACUUCUGCCUUGGGUUUUGAGGACUGUCUUGAGCUGCACUACACAGAAGCCAGCAGAGAUCCUGAAAGACAUCACGCUCCAGACAACAGAAGACAUGCUGGUACUAAUAUCACCAGUGAAAGGCAUGUGACUGCUAAACAGUGAAAUCAGUGCACUGAGGAGAACACUGAAUUAGCAUCAAGCUGUAAUCUUCUGUAGCAAACUGUGGUCGCUCACCAUUAACAUCACAGGACCACCCCUUAUCUCUCUGAAUGGUGCCUGUUUCUCAGAUAAAAUGCUCCUCUUGUGAUCACUCUGGAUGCAGUCAUGUUGAGUGCACAGUCCACAAUUACUGUUAACUGGUGACCAAAAGCAUUACAGUAAGUGUAGAAAUCAGGUGCGGUGGGCAACAUACUGGAGUUCGAUAUUUCGGGUUGUCACCUAUCCAAUUAAUUUAAAACUGUUUCUGAAUGAGUGGACUUACAAACUGGCAUUAUUACAUCCUUUGAAGUAAAAGUAGGUCUCAAUAUGCCUAUUUUAUUUUUAUUUUUUUUUCCUUUUCCUUAAAUCAGCAAAUCCGUUACAUAGCCUCUUGCUGAUUUUAAGAGGCAUAUGGUUCUUAAUCCAGUGGUGUAUGAAUUAUGGCAGUAAAUGGCUUUGAAAGUGCUUCGAAAGCAAAAAUAUGGAAAUUUUCCCCUCAAGAGACUAGGAUGAGCAGUCAUUAUUUUUGCGAUUGCAGAGAACACUGCCCAAGUGUUCCAAGACUGCGUGUGUAUAAUUGUUUGCCUCUUCCUCUCUUUGAAGUAUUUUUUUUUUUUUUUUAAACUGUAAAACCGCAGACACACUCAAGGACAGCUUCCACAGCCUGGUCAAGAACACUAGCACAUCUACAUAUUCACCAAGUCAUAAAUCUUCUAUACUUUGGCUAUGCAUACAUGACACAUGACCCUUAUUUCUCCCUUGUGGUUGCUCUCUGAGAGACAAUAGAGGUCCAGUAAAGCACACAGCUUCCCUCUUAGGUAAUAUUUCAUAAUACCUCUUUACAACUACCAACGCAUCAAGGUAACUCAGCUGCAGCCUGGGAGGGGAGUUUAACCAUAAUUGUCUUAAAUUGUCUAAUUUGGAUAAAAUGAGCAAGAAAAUUCCCUCAGCUAUUUGUUAGUAUAAUAAUGUCAACUAUAUGUUUCUUGCCUCGUGGUAUUCUGUUUUGUAAAGGGGAAUGAACUAUACUCUGAAUCCUUUGGAUAUUUGGUUCGAUCUGUCUGUCAGACAUUAAUUAGUUUCAUAGCAAUCUCUCACUGCUGUCUUGUGGAAAGACAGUAAGACUGAAAAAUAAGCCAGGAUGACAAAGGGAGAGCUUGACUUGCUUCUGACCAAAGAAAUCUGUCAUUAAGAAAAGGUUCAGAACUCAGAUCUGAAGCUCCUUUGCCUGCCUUGGGGGAGCACAGAUGACUGGAUUAAAACAUUAACGCCUUAUUAUAUACGAAAUUGUCUUUUCAAAGAAUGGUCUGCUUGCUCACUUAUGCCCGUGUACAUAAACAACCGAGGAGAGGGAGAUUUUCAGAGCAGAGCGCUGGAACUCAACCAUGCGACUCUCACUAAUGACAGUGGCUGUUAGGCAGCCAAAACAUCGAACGAGGUUUCCAAAUUAACCUUAAAAUAACAUUACGGAGGCCUCAGUAACAGCUCCGCAGUUAAAUCCAUAUUAAAAUUUGCACUUGGAGCAUCGCUAAUGUCCCAGGAUUUCCUACUCAAAUUACUCUGCAUCAUCUCCCCAUUUUACAUACUGAGGUCUAAUUCUCUGCCGCGUAACAGCAUUUUUUACCACUUGUGCAAAUCAUAUUUGGAGCACCAGCAGAAAGGGACUUCAGCAGAGCAGAGAGUCGUAUCCCAGCUCUCCCGGAGACAACGGAAUUUGUUUACCCAUAUUUAAAUGUACUAACUUUCACUCAAACAGAAAUUUUGUAUUGUCCCACGCAAAAAUCCAGAGCUCAGACUUGAGAUAUUGCUUAGGCUAAUAGCCAUAAAGAAUCAUGAGCCUUCAAACACGCACAGAAAUGUUUGUAGACGUUUUAAAGAUAGGCUUACAUUUUUUUAAAUAUAAAUUAAACUAUCACUCUUUCAUCGUCGGCUUUCUCCAGCUCCAGCAGAAUGCUUCUAGAUCAAGCCAGAGCAUUGUUUUUCCAGCAGCACCCAGCAGCAUUCUCCUUCCUGCUGACCUUUGAAUUUCAGCAAGGGAGUGGAAAGGAAUUCCCCACCAACCGUCUGUCUCUAGCAGGGUCCAUCCCCCUGUCACCCACCACCCAUUUACAUCCUUUUCUCUGGGGCACCAGCCCAAACUUGCCUCCAAAAGCCUGGUGCCCCAGGCACAUGGAAAAUCCAGUUUCCACUUGUGCCACACCAAUGGUGAUACACCAUUUCUUUUAUUCUGUGGUGAUCCUUUCCUUUUUUUUUUCCCUCAUCUCUCAAAGUUUCCCAAACCUCUGAAAAUAAAGCCAGUUUUAUUUAGAUUGCUGAAUACA
rnacentral:lncRNA from 1 species